rnacentral:snoRNA from 1 species
AUCUGGCUUAGUUAGGAGGCAAACAUAAAUAUUCUGAUCAUUCAAUACUUUUCUGUAUUGUUUUUGGUCGUUUGAGGCUCUUUUUUUGGUUUCUUUUGAGGAGGAGCAAUUGAAUUAUCUUCAAUUGCAAGCUUCUUCUUACCAAAAAGCUUCCGACAUUA